UGCCCGGUAGUGUAAUGGUAGCACCAGGGAUUUUGAUUCCCUUAGUCCUGGUUCAAAUCCAGGCCGGGUAA
rnacentral:tRNA from 1 species